rnacentral:rRNA from 1 species
GACGAACGCUGGCGGCGUGCUUAACACAUGCAAGUCGAACGGAAAGGCCCUGCUUUUGUGGGGUGCUCGAGUGGCGAACGGGUGAGUAACACGUGAGUAACCUGCCCUUGACUUUGGGAUAACUUCAGGAAACUGGGGCUAAUACCGGAUAGGAGCUCCUGCUGCAUGGUGGGGGUUGGAAAGUUUCGGCGGUUGGGGAUGGACUCGCGGCUUAUCAGCUUGUUGGUGGGGUAGUGGCUUACCAAGGCUUUGACGGGUAGCCGGCCUGAGGGGGUGACCGGCCCCCUUGGGACUGAGGUACGGCCCCGACUCCUACGGGAGGCAGCAGUGGGGAAUAUUGCACAAUGGGCGGAAGCCUGAUGCAGCAACGCCGCGUGCGGGAUGACGGCCUUCGGGUUGUAAACCGCUUUCGCCUGUGACGAAGCGUGAGUGACGGUAAUGGGUAAAGAAGCACCGGCUAACUACGUG